rnacentral:lncRNA from 1 species
UUUGGUUGUUUUCUACAUAUUCUGGAUAAUAUGUUAUUAUUUUCUAUUUUGUUCUCAGAAAAACUUAUUUUUUGUCUUUCUUCUCCUUGUCUCUCGUUGUUUUCGAUGGUUCUCCGUCUAUUUGAUAGAAAGUUCAUUUUUGUGGUUUUCUUAUUAUAUUUUUUCUUUCUUGUUUAGGAGUUAAUUCAGUUUUUUUUAACUGAUUAAUAAGUUCUUCUAUUUCAAGGUGGUUUUUUGGUGGUUCUUG